CUUUACUGUAACCUGUUAUUGGCUUCGGGCUUUGAUUACGCAGGAUAGGUGGGAGGCGUUGAACUAUCCCUUGUGGGGGGUAGGGAGCCGACGGUGAGAUACCACUUUGUCAGAGCUAGAAGUCUAACCGAUCGCCGUUAUCCGGCAUCGGAACCGUAGCAGGCGGGCAGUUUGACUGGGGCGGUCGCCUCCUAAAGCGUAACGGAGGCACGCAAUGGUGUUCUCAGGCUGGUUGGAAAUCAGCCGCAGAGUGUAAAAGCAUAAGAACGCUUGACUGCGAGAGGUACAUCUCGAGCAGGGACGAAAGUCGGCUUUAGUGAUCCGACGGUUGAGCAUGGAAUCGCCGUCGCUAAAUGGAUAAAAGUUA
rnacentral:rRNA from 1 species